CCUACGGGAGGCAGCAGUGAGGAAUAUUGGUCAAUGGGCGAGAGCCUGAACCAGCAAAGUCGCGUGAAGGAUGAAGGAUUUAUGGUCGGUAAACUCCUUUUAUAUGGGAGUAAAGUGAGGAACGUGAUCGUUUUUGUAUGUACCAUAUGUAUAAGCAUCGGCUAACUUCGUGCCAGCAGCCGCGGUAAUACGGUGGAUGCGAGCGUUAUCCGGAUUUAUUGGGUUUAAAGGGUGCGUAGGUGGUUAAUUAAGUCAGCGGUGAAAGUUUGUGGCUCAACCAUAGAAUUGCCGUUGAAACUGGUUGACUUGAGUAUAUUUGAGGUAGGCGGAAUGCGUGGUGUAGCGGUGAAAUGCAUAGAUAUCACGCAGAACUCCGAUUGCGAAGGCAGCUUACUAAACUAUAACUGACGCUGAAGCACGAAAGCGUGGGGAUCAAACAGGAUUAGAUACCCGAGUAGUC
rnacentral:rRNA from 1 species